rnacentral:rRNA from 1 species
AAGGAAUAUUGGACAAUGGGCGGAAGCCUGAUCCAGCCAUCCCGCGUGCAGGAUGAAGGCCCUAGUGGUUGUAAACUGCUUUUAUUUGGGAAGAAAUCUGUCUAUUUAUAGGCAGUUGACGGUACCAUAUGAAUAAGCACCGGCUAACUCCGUGCCAGCAGCCGCGGUAAUACGGAGGGUGCAAGCGUUAUCCGGAAUCACUGGGUUUAAAGGGUGCGUAGGCGGCCUGACAAGUCAUGGGUGAAAUGUCGUCGCUUAACGAUGAAAUUGCCUUUGAUACUGUUGGGCUUGAAACAGGUUGAGGUUGGCAGAAUGUGGCAUGUAGCGGUGAAAUGCAUAGAGAUGCCAUAGAAUACCGAUUGCGUAGGCAGCUGGCUGGACCUGGAUUGACGCUGAGGCACGAAAGCGUGGGGAGCAAAC